rnacentral:misc_RNA from 1 species
CGUUUCAGUUGGCGGUUUCCCCUUUCCCUCGUUCCAAGCUUAGGCAUACCUUCCCCAUCAUCAUCUUUCCUCACUAUCAGGAACUUGACAUGUUCAACAACGAUGCGCUCAAGUACGCGCUCCCCAUCAUUCCGGUGCGCCAAACGGAGAAGCCCGGCGUCAACUCGCAAGUCGAAGUGGAUCUGUCAUCCGCCGAAAAGAAGGACAUUGACAAAAAGCGUGAUGCUUGCAUCGACUUUUUCGAAGAUUUUCGAAAGCACCUGAGUCGGAAAGGGAAUUCAGUAGAUGACAAACUGAGCACUAGUGCGGGAUGCGAGAAGUACGUGAAGGAUCUUGUUGAUCUUGUUGAUGCGUAUACUGUCUCUCUUGCCAAUGCUGUUUCAAAAACGCCAAGGUUUGCCAGCCUCCAGUACUACCACUGGAGCUCGUCGCUUACGGACAAACAGGAGAUGGCUUUUGACGACUAUCGAUACGAACUUCUCGGGGUGUACUACAACGUUGGUGCCAUUCUCAUGAACAUUGCUCAAUACUUGCUUUGCGUGAGAGUGACAGUAGGAACGCUCUCUUUCCUCGAAAAGGACGCUUACCGCGCCCUCAUCAAGGCGUCUGCCUACUUUCACUUUUGCGCCGACAUCGUUGACAAUAUGAAGAAGCACGAGAUUGGUGUCGCGCAGGUAUCAGUUCCUCUCGAUGUGGACAAGGACAUGGCUGUUUUCCUUGAAAGCUUGGCACUAGCCCAAGCCCAGGAAAUCGGCGUGUCGAAGGCGUUCAACGCUGAUCCCAAGGAGAGCACAGAAACCACUGCCCGCCUCAGCCACCAGCUCUUUCUCAUGUACGAGACUGUGUGCACGAAUGCUCGCACCAUAAACACUCGCAACGAGACCUUUGUGGAGAUUUCAACACUGGCUGUCGUGAAGCGCGACAUCUUUCAUGCGCUCGCAUUUCAGCAUGCAGCCUCUCAUCUCUUUAACAACAACCCGGGAGCUGGAAUCACCCUUCUAAGCCAGGGAGUAGAGCACGCGAGGAUUGUAGAAGACUAUUUCACCAAGUCUCAAAAUGGCAAGCUGAAACUUCCCUUCAACGGCACCCGCUUUGUCGGACUGUGCAGCACAACCGUCCGGAACAACACGGAGCGUCUCAACAAAAUAAACUCACUGGUUUAUCGAGCCAAGCCCGAUGCGACAAAAGCGUCGUUGCCGCCUCCACAGCCGCUCGCGAUGCGCCCCGACAUCUCGCUUCCAUUCCGGCUAGAGGCAUCCCCCAGUGCAUGCACCGUUGCAUUGCUCUCACGCAACGCUCAGUGAAGGCAUUAAAUCGCGCAUGCUUUUGCCUCUCAAUAUCGCAUUGCAAUGCUUUUGUGCGUGUGUGUUUGUGUGCUUUCUUCAGCUGUCUUCAUGACUUGGGACACCUCAGUGAGUCGUCUCUCAGGGCUCUGUGCACCCACCCCCUCUCCCCACUCGGUGCGUGGCGAAGCCGGGCAGCCCCUCCCCUCCCCUAUCCCGGCCAAUGCACAGCCCCUUCUCGUGGUGAGAGGGCCAAGCGCCUGCGACGUUGGGGAGUCGGAGAGACUCAGCGCCACUCACGUCGGCGGUCCGACGGUGGACGGCGUUGCACCGGAGCGACCUGCAGCACUGCACACGCGUGCGCCAUCCAUAUGAUGGGCAGAGUGUGCCGACGUGGCUGGGACGUAUCCCACCCGGCCGUCGCUGCUUAGUGGUGCGGGGCGGCUCAGGCGCCCUGCGAGGGAUAUGCACCACGUAGCAACCAGCAUGGCUGGGGCGGCUGCGAGGCGACCUGGGAUGCGGGCGGGUGCGUUGCCUUUGAGGCGGGGGCCGUGCUGAGAUGACCGAGCCGGCGCGUUGCUGUGGCGCGCGUGUCUACGGCUGCUCCGCACCGCGCGAUGCGAGUGGGAGGGGCCCUGUGGCAAACCCGGGGCGUUGAACGUAGUUGGAUUCAUGUUUGAUGGCAGAAUGGGGAUGCUUCAAUACGUAUUUCUGCUGUCUGCGCCUUUGCGUUGUGCUGUAUCUCACACGGUGUUCUUUUUCUUUGCAUGCUAUAGUUGCCUUUCUGGCGUUUCCCUCCCCACCCCUCUUUUUUUUUCGUUGUCCGUUUCCUUGUACUGCAGCGCUUUCUGCGACAGUGCCUCAUUCGAGAUCCGACCAGCAGACAGCACGCAUACGAGAGCGACCAGGCGAGCAAGCCGCAAGAAGGAGCACGCGCUUUUUGUGCACACGUAUGUGUAUGCGAGCGAGUGACGCGAACACGCAAAGAAAAAAGGGGUCUCUGCCGCUGAGGGAAUACCCGAUCUCU